AAUUUGCAUAAACAUAUCACCAAAAUAGUAUGUUCAUAAGGACAUUCUUCAUAUUUCUACAGUACGCCAGAGAAGCAGCACAGCCAGGCCACAGCCAACACUGCCAAGAGAUGCAGAUGGUGGCAAUGCCGGUUCUUCUUCGGCAAAUCCACCUACACUAAGGCGCCCAUCACAGGGCUCGGUUACUGUGGCAACGAGGCCACCCAAGAGACGCCGUCUUGAGGCUCCAGCUCCAGCACCAGCAUCACCACCCCAAUGGCGCAUCUCCGCAGUGUCGGCCGUGCCACCACUAGCUCUUUUGGCCAGCCCCCAAAGUGAGGAUCCACAAUCCCCUCAGUUGUCUGACCCAGCCAUCAUCACCGAGGAUGACCAGCAGGAACGUGACCAGGAGACCUUCACACUCCACCUGCAGCCCAUCGAUCCUACUCAGCCAACCACGCCGCAGGACAUACCCCAACCACCCCAAACAUCCCACAGCCCCCAAUUGAGCACAACACAAG